GACGGUAAAUAAUCAAAUGCUAGUUGAAUGACAGAUAUAAAAGCCAUAAUUCAGAUAUAGUCAAAAUUAAGGUGUCAGUUUUAUAAAAAGCUAUCGUGAACACUUUCCUGGAACUUUUAAAAGGCAAGACUGCUUCUAAGUAUAAAUAAUAACAGCAAGGACUGCUGGUUGUACAUCGCUUUGCAGCCACACCCAUUAAUGUGGAUUAAUGUUGGUGACAUCAUCAAACAACUUCCUAAGCAGCUUAUUUAUUUUUUUUUUGGAGAUGGAGUUCUGCUCUUGUUGCCCAGGCUAUAAUUUUGGAUAGAUACAUUAAAUUAUGGAAGUCAGUGAAAAAAGUGUGCUAAAAUCAGAUACAGGUUGAGUGUCCCUUAUCCGAAUGCCUGGGACCAGAAGUGUUUUGGAUUUUGAAUUUUUUCAGAUUUUUGAAAUAUCUGCAUACAUAUGAGAUAUGCUGGGAAUGGGACUCAAGUCUAAACUAGAAAUUCAUUUAUGUUUCAUAUAUACCUUAAGAUAUGUAGCCUAAAGGUAAUUUUA
rnacentral:lncRNA from 10 species